rnacentral:rRNA from 1 species
GACGAACGCUGGCGGCGUGCUUAACACAUGCAAGUCGAACGGAAAGGCCCUGCUUGCAGGGUACUCGAGUGGCGAACGGGUGAGUAACACGUGGGUGAUCUGCCCUGCACUUCGGGAUAAGCCUGGGAAACUGGGUCUAAUACCGGAUAGGAGCCAUUUUUAGUGUGAUGGUUGGAAAGUUUUUUCGGUGUAGGAUGAGCUCGCGGCCUAUCAGCUUGUUGGCGGGGUAAUGGCCUACCAAGGCGGCGACGGGUAGCCGGCCUGGGAGGGUGGACGGCCACAUUGGGACUGAGAUACGGCCCAGACUCCUACGGGAGGCAGCAGUGGGGAAUAUUGCACAAUGGGCGCAAGCCUGAUGCAGCGACGCCGCGUGGGGGAUGACGGCCUUCGGGUUGUAAACUCCUUUCGCUAGGGACGAAGCUUUUUGUGACGGUACCUAGAUAAGAAGCACCGGCUAACUACGUG